AUCGCAAGACCUCUCACUAUUGGAGCGGCCGAUAUCGGAUUAGCUAGUUGGUGGGGUAAAGGCCUACCAAGGCGACGAUCCGUAGCUGGUUUGAGAGGACGACCAGCCACACUGGGACUGAGACACGGCCCAGACUCCUACGGGAGGCAGCAGUGGGGAAUUUUGGACAAUGGAGGAAACCCUGAUCCAGCCAUUCCGCGUGUGCGAUGAAGGCCUUCGGGUUGUAAAGCACUUUUGGCAGGAAAGAAAUCGUGUGGGUUAAUACCCUGCGCGGAUGACGGUACCUGCAGAAUAAGCACCGGCUAACUACGUG
rnacentral:rRNA from 1 species